AGCGUAAUAGCUCACUGGUCGAGUCGGCCUGCGCGGAAGAUGUAACGGGGCUAAACCAUGCACCGAAGCUGCGGCAGCGACGCUUAUGCGUUGUUGGGUAGGGGAGCGUUCUGUAAGCCUGUGAAGGUGUGUCGUGAGGCAUGCUGGAGGUAUCAGAAGUGCGAAUGCUGACAUAAGUAACGAUAAAGCGGGUGAAAAGCCCGCUCGCCGGAAGACCAAGGGUUCCUGUCCAACGUUAAUCGGGGCAGGGUGAGUCGACCCCUAAGGCGAGGCCGAAAGGCGUAGUCGAUGGGAAACGGGUUAAUAUUCCCGUACUUGGUGUUACUGCGAAGGGGGGACGGAGAAGGCUAUGUUGGCCGGGCGACGGUUGUCCCGGUUUAAGCGUGUAGGUGUGUGUUCCAGGUAAAUCCGGUUCACUUUAACACUGAGGCGUGAUGACGAGGCACUACGGUGCUGAAGUAACAAAUGCCCUGCUUCCAGGAAAAGCCUCUAAGCAUCAGGUAACAUCAAAUCGUACCCCAAACCGACACAGGUGGUCAGGUAGAGAAUACCAAGGCGCUUGAGAGAACUCGGGUGAAGGAACUAGGCAAAAUGGUGCCGUAACUUCGGGAGAAGGCACGCUGACACGUAGGUGAAGUGAUUUACUCACGGAGCUGAAGUCAGUCGAAGAUACCAGCUGGCUGCAACUGUUUAUUAAAAACACAGCACUGUGCAAACACGAAAGUGGACGUAUACGGUGUGACGCCUGCCCGGUGCCGGAAGGUUAAUUGAUGGGGUCAGCGCAAGCGAAGCUCCUGAUCGAAGCCCCGGUAAACGGCGGCCGUAACUAUAACGGUCCUAAGGUAGCGAAAUUCCUUGUCGGGUAAGUUCCGACCUGCACGAAUGGCGUAAUGAUGGCCAGGCUGUCUCCACCCGAGACUCAGUGAAAUUGAACUCGCUGUGAAGAUGCAGUGUACCCGCGGCAAGACGGAAAGACCCCGUGAACCUUUACUAUAGCUUGACACUGAACAUUGAGCCUUGAUGUGUAGGAUAGGUGGGAGGCUUUGAAGUGUGGACGCCAGUCUGCAUGGAGCCGACCUUGAAAUACCACCCUUUAAUGUUUGAUGUUCUAACGUGGACCCGUUACCCGGGUUGCGGACAGUGUCUGGUGGGUAGUUUGACUGGGGCGGUCUCCUCCUAAAGAGUAACGGAGGAGCACGAAGGUUGGCUAAUCCUGGUCGGACAUCAGGAGGUUAGUGCAAUGGCAUAAGCCAGCUUGACUGCGAGCGUGACGGCGCGAGCAGGUGCGAAAGCAGGUCAUAGUGAUCCGGUGGUUCUGAAUGGAAGGGCCAUCGCUCAACGGAUAAAAGGUACUCCGGGGAUAACAGGCUGAUACCGCCCAAGAGUUCAUAUCGACGGCGGUGUUUGGCACCUCGAUGUCGGCUCAUCACAUCCUGGGGCUGAAGUAGGUCCCAAGGGUAUGGCUGUUCGCCAUUUAAAGUGGUACGCGAGCUGGGUUUAGAACGUCGUGAGACAGUUCGGUCCCUAUCUGCCGUGGGCGCUGGAGAACUGAGGGGGGCUGCUCCUAGUACGAGAGGACCGGAGUGGACGCAUCACUGGUGUUCGGGUUGUCAUGCCAAUGGCACUGCCCGGUAGCUAAAUGCGGAAGAGAUAAGUGCUGAAAGCAUCUAAGCACGAAACUUGCCCCGAGAUGAGUUCUCCCUGAGACUUUAGGUCUCCUGAAGGAACGUUGAAGACGACGACGUUGAUAGGCCGGGUGUGUAAGCGCAGCGAUGCGUUGAGCUAACCGGUACUAAUGAACCGUGAGGCUUAACCUUACAACGCCG
rnacentral:rRNA from 1 species